GAUGAACGCUGACAGAAUGCUUAACACAUGCAAGUCUACUUGAACUUCGGUUUGGGUGGCGGACGGGUGAGUAACGCGUAAAGAACUUGCCUCACAGUUAGGGACAACAUUUGGAAACGAAUGCUAAUACCUGAUAUUAUGAUUUUAGGGCAUCCUAAGAUUAUGAAAGCUAUAUGCGCUGUGAGAGAGCUUUGCGUCCCAUUAGCUAGUUGGAGAGGUAACGGCUCACCAAGGCGAUGAUGGGUAGCCGGCCUGAGAGGGUGAACGGCCACAAGGGGACUGAGACACGGCCCUUACUCCUACGGGAGGCAGCAGUGGGGAAUAUUGGACAAUGGACCAAAAGUCUGAUCCAGCAAUUCUGUGUGCACGAUGACGUUUUUCGGAAUGUAAAGUGCUUUCAGUUGGGAAGAAAAAAAUGACGGUACCAACAGAAGAAGUGACGGCUAAAUACGUGCCAGCAGCCGCGGUAAUACGUAUGUCACAAGCGUUAUCCGGAUUUAUUGGGCGUAAAGCGCGUCUAGGUGGUUAUGUAAGUCUGAUGUGAAAAUGCAGGGCUCAACUCUGUAUUGCGUUGGAAACUGCAUGACUAGAGUACUGGAGAGGUAAGCGGAACUACAAGUGUAGAGGUGAAAUUCGUAGAUAUUUGUAGGAAUGCCGAUGGGGAAGCCAGCUUACUGGACAGAUACUGACGCUAAAGCGCGAAAGCGUGGGUAGCAAGCAGG
rnacentral:rRNA from 1 species